rnacentral:rRNA from 1 species
UACAGAGGGUGCAAGCGUUAAUCGGAUUGACUGGGCGUAAAGGGCGCGUAGGUGGUUAUGUAAGUUGGUUGUGAAAGCCCUGGGCUUAACCUGGGAGUGGCGAUCAAGACUGGAUGACUAGAGUAUGGUAGAGGGGAGUGGAAUUUCCGGAGUAGCGGUGAAAUGCGCAGAUAUCGGGAAGAACACCCGUGGCGAAGGCGGCUCUCUGGGACGGUACUGACGCUGAGACGCGAAAGCGUGGGGAGCGAACAGG